rnacentral:tRNA from 1 species
GCCCCCUUAGCUCAGUGGUAGAGCAUUCGUCUUGUAAACGAAAGGCCGUCAGUUCAAUCCUGACAGGGGGCUCCA